UACGUAGGGACCAAGCGUUGUUCGGAUUUACUGGGCGUAAAGGGCGCGUAGGCGGCGUGGUAAGUCAGUUGUGAAAUCUCCGAGCUUAACUCGGAACGGCCAACUGAUACUGCUGUGCUAGAGUGCAGAAGGGGCAAUCAGAAUUCUUGGUGUAGCGGUGAAAUGCGUAGAUAUCAAGAGGAAUACCUGAGGUGAAGACGGGUUGCUAGGCUGACACUGACGCCGAGGCGCGAAAGCCAGGGGAGCAAACGGG
rnacentral:rRNA from 1 species